rnacentral:tRNA from 1 species
GACGGCACCUGCGCCGAGCCGGUGAACGGCGGAGGCUUGCGCCCGCCGGCCUGGUCCGGCGCCGGGUUCCGGUGUUCGGGUACGUCGGGGCCGGUGCC